rnacentral:rRNA from 1 species
AGUGAACGCUGGCGGCGUGCCUAAUACAUGCAAGUCGAACGGAGUGGCGCACGGGUGAGUAAUGUAUAACUAAUCUGCCCUACACUAGAUGACAACAGUUGGAAAUGAAUGCUAAUACUCUAUAGUGUAGGCUGAGGCUAUAUUGUAUCAUCUAGUUGGUGAGGUAAUGGCUCACCAAGGCUAUGACGCAUAACUGGUCGGAGAGGAUGAGCAGUCAAACUGUAACGGAGACACCGUCCAGGCUCCUAGGAGAGGCAGCAGUAGGGAAUUGUGGUCAAUGGGGGAAACCCUGAAGCAGCGACGCGGCGUAGAGGAUGUCACGUUGCAAAGAGUAGACUCCUUUUGUUAGGCAAGCGGUACCUAACGAAUAAGCACCGGCUAACUCCGUGCCAGCAGCCGCGGUAAUAC